ACGAGACCCACAAGCCACCAGCCCCGCGCCGGCGCCUGUAGCCGGCCGCACGCACGGAUCCAGGCGUGCAAGCCAGAUCCACCACGGGGAUGGAGCCACCAGGAACCACGCAACCACCGCAGACCUCCCUCCGGACCGAGCACCAACCACCGCACGCCAAGACGCCCGAGGACGAACGGAUCUGGCCCGUCCGCAUCGGCCACCGCCGGCCACGCAUCCAGCUCUGCUGGCACUUCCACCGCUCCCGCACGAGGUAGGUGAGUGCAGCCCGCACGCACCAGCGUCCAAGCUCCAGCAUCGCGGCCACGAACGGCGCAUCUCGCGCCCACGCCCAGCGAGCGCCCAAAGCGUCCACCGCGGAUCUCCCCAUGCUGCCUUUGGAGACGGGGGCCGCCGCCACCGCGGCCGAGCCGGCGGCAGCGGCGGAGAGGAGGGCGCCGACGGAGGGGGACCGGCGCCUGCGAGCUUGGUCUCCCCCGAGUCGCCCGGUGGGAGCGACGCGGGGGUCCUGUGCUCCUUCAGCCCACGACUCGUCUCGCUCCACCUCCGUUCUUGUGUUCUAAAUGCUGGGUUGUAGAUUUAUGAUCCAUAUUUCCGUAAUUUGCUUAAUGGUGUAACUCAAGAUUUGCUUGUGUGACAAAUAAAGAUCAAACAAACUACGGUAUGAGCCCC
rnacentral:rRNA from 1 species